UCCGUGGUGAAUCCAAAACGGAACAUAACUGGGCGUAGCGUGGUGCGGCGCGGCCCGGUCAUGGAGGCUGUAGAGACGCAGGCGGAAGCUGCAGUUUUAGAGGUCCUGGCUGAAGUGGCAGACAUUGGGGAACCUGUAGGCUUACAGGAAGAGGCGGAGCUGCCAGCUCGGAUCCUGGCUGAGUUUUUGAGCAAUUCCCGAAAGAAAGACAAGCUGCUCUGCAGCCAACUUCAGGUAGUAUACUUCCUACAGAAUUUCCUGGCUCAGGAGGACAUUGCCCAGGACCUGGGCCCCUUGGCUUCUGAAGACGUGAGCCGACAGAAGGCAACUGAAGCCAAAGAACAAUGGAAAGAGCUGAAGGCUACCUAUCAAGAGCAUGUAGAGGCCAUAAAAAGCACCAUGACCCAGGCCCUGCCCCAGAUGGAGGAGGUCCAAAGGAAGCGUGUUCAGCUCCAGGAGGCCUUUGAGCAGCUCCAAGCCAAGAAGCAAGCAGUAAUGGAGAAAUUCAAAGCCGCCCAGAAGCAGCGGAAACUACAACAGGAGAAACAUCUGCAGAGUCUGGCAGAAGUCUCUGCAGGGCUGAAGGAACGUCAGAAGGGAAUUCAGCAGAAGCUUGAGCAGCUACAUCAGGAACUUGGAACCUUGAAAAAGCAGGCAGAAUGGGAACAGGAUAAACUGCAGAGGCACCAGACCUUCCUUCAGCUCCUGUAUACCCUGCAGGGUAAGCAGCUGGUCCCUGAGGCAGAGGCUGAGAGCAGAGCUACUACAGGAGCUACCCUUCCACAUGUAACUGCUUAAGGGUAUGGAAGGAAGGUGAACCCCUGGUGUGCCUUUUACUGCAUUUGAGCUCUGCUACCCAUUGAUGGGAUUGGAAGUGGGAAGAAGGAAAGAGAUGUUAUGGUGAAGCUUGGUUCAUCAUCCCUAUGCCAGACCCAUCUGGUCUAACCCUCUCUCCAUCUUCCCCAGCAGAUUGGAUUAUGAAUGCUUGAAUACAGCCUGAUUUCUGACUGUGACCUAGGAGAAAAACUAAAGCCAUAGAGAUUCAUAUACCUGAAAGUGAGUCAUUUAUUUCAAUCAUGAAGACACCUGGAAGCUACAGGAAUCUCAUCUAACUUUGUUGCAGUACUGAUUGCUAUCAACAGUUUGCUAUAUUUUUACCUGCAUUUCCUGUUUAUUUAUAAAAAGGCUAAGUGACAGCCUCAUUCAUUUUAAAAUUUUGUUAUCAGGAACAGUAUUUGUAUUUAAUGCUGUCUUAGAAUUAAAGAAAUGUUUGCUUAUUGGAUAUGUGUCUUAGUUUAAUAAUAAGAGUAUUAUAAGUUUGCAAGGAGAACAUGUACUUGCUUUCUUCAGGCACAUUGAAGUCUAUAAUAUUUCCUAUAUAGUUAGUUUAUGAAUUUAUAUAUGUGAUUCAUAAUAUAUAAAUGAUCAGAAAAUUAAACAUUUGAUUUUUUUCUCUAGGCAUCACUGUCUUCACAGAAAUAAUAUAUUCUUCAUUUGAAAUUUCUUUAACCCUUUGAGCCAUUUUAUGUUACAUAUUUAUCCCUCUUGGAUUGGCCAAAUACCUCACUGAUUUUAUCUUUCUUGUGCUAUUUAAUAGGAAGCUCUUGAUAUUUCUCAUAUGAUGUUGGGCACUGGUUACUUUAAUGUUUAUUUUGUUAAACAACCCAUACCUUGGAGAAUAAAGUGAAAGCUGAACUUGCUAA